CCUACGGGAGGCAGCAGUAAGGAAUAUUGGUCAAUGGACGCAAGUCUGAACCAGCCAUGCCGCGUGGAGGAUGAAGGUCCUCUGGAUUGUAAACUUCUUUUAUUGGGGAAGAAACCUGGAUUUUCUAAUUCAGUUGACGGUACCCGAUGAAUAAGCACCGGCUAACUCCGUGCCAGCAGCCGCGGUAAU
rnacentral:rRNA from 1 species